rnacentral:rRNA from 1 species
CAAAGGAAUUGACGGGGCCCGCACAAGCGGUGGAGCAUGUGGUUAAUUCGAAGCAACGCGAAGAACCUUACCAGGUCUUGACAUCCCGAUGCUAUUUCUAGAGAUAGAAAGUACUUCGGUACAUCGGUGACAGGUGGUGCAUGGUUGUCGUCAGCUCGUGUCGUGAGAUGUUGGGUUAAGUCCCGCAACGAGCGCAACCCCUAUUGUUAGUUGCCAUCAUUCAGUUGGGCACUCUAGCGAGACUGCCGGUAAUAAACCGGAGGAAGGUGGGGAUGACGUCAAAUCAUCAUGCCCCUUAUGACCUGGGCUACACACGUGCUACAAUGGUUGGUACAACGAGUUGCGAGUCGGUGACGGCGAGCUAAUCUCUUAAAGCCAAUCUCAGUUCGGAUUGUAGGCUGCAACUCGCCUACAUGAAGUCGGAAUCGCUAGUAAUCGCGGAUCAGCACGCCGCGGUGAAUACGUUCCCGGGCCUU